GUGCCAGCCGUUUGCGUUCAUUCCACUGGUAGGCAUCAUUUCAGAAAUAUUUUGAUUGAUUAGAAGAAAAGAAGAUAAUUCAAAUGGCCUUCCCCGACUUGUUACACAAGGAGCGUGACCAGAUUUUGGUACAAUCGAAUUCCCACGUGAGGACGCUGAUACUAAAUAGACCUCAGAAGCUGAAUGUCCUCUCAUAUGAAAUGGUUUCUCAAUUACUGAAGAACUUCAAAGCAUUUGAGGAGGACCGUGAUGUCAAGUUGGUGAUCUUGAAGGUAAAA